CGGAACGGUCAUAGCUGCCUGGUCCCAUCCGAUCUCGUUUCGAACUCGGCAAUUAAGCAGGCAUACGUUCUUAGCUGUACUGUCCUCUGUGACGGGAACCUAAGAUAGCUGUUCCAC
rnacentral:rRNA from 1 species